rnacentral:snoRNA from 1 species
UUUAUGAUGAAAUUAAUUGGUCCGUGUUUAUGAAUUUACGUUGAUUUCAAUCCUUCCAAUUACUGAUUUGA